AGAGUUUGAUCAUGGCUCAGAACAAACGCUGGCGGCGUGCCUAAUACAUGCAAGUCGAACGGGGAAAGUAGCAAUAUGAGUACUAGUGGCGCACGGGUGAGUAACGCGUGGAUAAUCUGCCUUGAAGAGUGGGAUAACCAGUCGAAAGAUUGGCUAAUACCGCAUGAGACCACAAGAACUGCGGUUCAAGGGGUCAAAGG
rnacentral:rRNA from 1 species